UACAGAGGGGGCAAGCGUUGUUCGGAAUCACUGGGCGUAAAGGGAGCGUAGGCGGGUUCUUAAGUUAGGUGUUUAAUCCCGGGGCCCAACCCCGGACCGGCACUUAAAACUGGGAAUCUUGAAUAGUGGAGAGGUCAGUGGAAUUGGGGGUGUAGCGGUGGAAUGCGUAGAGAUCCCCAAGAACACCAGUUGCGAAGGCGGCUGACUGGACACAUAUUGACGCUGAGGCUCGAAAGCAUGGGGAGCAAACAGG
rnacentral:rRNA from 1 species